rnacentral:rRNA from 1 species
UAGGGAAUCUUCGGCAAUGGGGGGAACCCUGACCGAGCAACGCCGCGUGAGUGAAGAAGGUUUUCGGAUCGUAAAGCUCUGUUGUUAAGGAAGAACGAGUGUGAGAAUGGAAAGUUCAUGCUGUGACGGUACUUAACCAGAAAGGGACGGCUAACUACGUGCCAGCAGCCGCGGUAAUACGUAGGUCCCGAGCGUUGUCCGGAUUUAUUGGGCGUAAAGCGAGCGCAGGCGGUUAGAAAAGUCUGAAGUGAAAGGCAGUGGCUCAACCAUAGUAGGCUUUGGAAACUGUUUAACUUGAGUGCAGAAGGGGAGAGUGGAAGUCCAUGUGUAGCGGUGAAAUGCGUAGAUAUAUGGAGGAACACCGGUGGCGAAAGCGGCUCGCUGGUCUGUAACUGACGCUGAGGCUAGAAAGCGUGGGGAGCGAACAGG